CUCCCCUGCAGGGAAUCCAAGGUCCAACCAGUUAUGCAUGGCAUAGUUGUUCCCUCUGCUGCUGGGUGAAUAGAAGUUAAAUCUGCUGUUCCUCUCUCCUCAGAGGAGAGUACCAGUCUAUCCUUCUCACACUCAGAUGGAAAAAAGGACCUUGUGAAGUAUUCAGCUGGGCCCCAAGUUCCUUGUGCCCGAUUUUCAGCAGGAGAGCUCCCUUUGUGAGGACUCGAAGGGAGGAGAGAGACUGGAUCUGUGUCCUGAUACCUUCCUGUCGCUACCAUCCAUGUGACAGCCAUGCAGCUUGAUCUAGCAAAACAGCAGAAAAGUGUUUGAUACAUGAGCACGUAUUUCAUUUUAAUUGAUUACAUGUAGGAUGCAUUACUGAAGCCCCAGCCCCGAGGUAUGAGAGACGGAGAGAACAAAGGACACGGAGACACAGACGUGGAAGAAGCUGGGUCUCGGGCUGAUCUGCGUUGCUCUGGGCAGCAAAGACAAAGGCACCAAGGACAUGCAGCGUUCAGUCACGGCAAGCGUGCAUAAGAGCGGAGCUGGGCAGGCCUCCAGACACCUGCUUAUAACAAAUAGGAAGCUGGCAGCCCUGUGGAAUGGGAGCACCACCUUUGCUGAAGAGAACAAACAGUUAACUCAGGGGAAGGAUUCACUUGAAGUCACGUUGACCUUGGCUGAAAGUGAACUCAGCAAGGCCCUGCCAUCUCUAAUGUAGCACUGCUGACUUGUGGAGGGGCAAGAAGCUUGCGCCACUGAGAGCCUGCUAAUGCUGGGCAGAGAUAUCUGCUACAAUUAUACCCACUUCGAAUGAUGACAUUUGAAAUCAGCCUCAGUCUCUUCAGAACUCGGGCCUAAACCACUGCCUCAUGUACAAAACAAAAUCUCUGACUCUGUUUACAUUUUCCCAAUCCCAAAAUGCUGUCUCACAAUACAAGACUGUACAACUUGGAUGACCCUCUGCUGCUUUCCCUCAGGCGACCUUGGGGACCUCAAGGAGAACCACAACAGCCGGCCAUUACAUUUAUACGGCCCGCCUCCAGUAUAGAUUCUUUGAUUUCAGGUAUGAAGAAAUAGAGUUCUGGUUACAACUUCCAAUCACCUUAAAACCAUAAGAGAAGCACUACCUGCAGACAACACCAACUAUGAGGAGAGUCAGCAGAAACUGAAAUCCUGAUCCAACUCUACCUGCAGCCCACUGUACCUACACUGACUUGCCGUUACAUGGAACAAUUCCUUUUCAUGUUUUCAGCCAGUUGGAACUGGGUAUUCAUACUUGCAAUCAAGAGUACCCUCACAUAAAGAGACUGCUCAACAUAGCAAGGAACUGUUAGCAUGGGGAGGCUGAGGCACAGCUCAAGUCUCACGGUGCCCACAGAACAGUGCUGAGGAUGACUGACCCUGGCUGUUUCCCCCAAACUGAGGGGUGCAGACUGGGGCUCAGUGGUUCACUCAGAGGGCAACUCUGAUCCCAGGCCAAGGGAGUCCUGCCUGAGGCCCAAACUGAUCUCAGACUGGCCCAUUUCCCAGGAUCUCCUCAGGUUGUGGUCACUAAGAAUCCUAGAGCCUGAAGCUACCACUGAGCUGAGGAUUAUCAGAGACUCAAGUCUUUAAACUGCCAGGAAACUUCCAAAGGGACUGACCCUUACCCAGGGAGGCGACAGCCCAUGGGUCUCUAGCAUCUCCUCCCUGGACAGGGCCUGCUGUGCUGAGGCCAGGCCAGUGCAUCCCUCUCAGAGAAGUAGACCACCACACCUUCACCGGUCACCAACUGCUGAAACAAUGUGAUUAAAUCCCCCAGGCAGGCCCCAGACCUCAAGCUUCAGUGAGAUCCAGGCAGGACACCCAGGGGUGGGAAAGGACUCCAGCUGGGUUCCUGGGUUCUGAACAGCUCAGGGAACUCUCUGCAGAGGAUGUUUGCCCCUCUUUACAAAGACAUAAAGGAUCAAUAGGCCACAAGGCUCUCAUGACUUCUCUUUAUUCAAGCAAACAUCCUAGCGGACUCUCUUUCUCCUGGUUUUCUGCAAAUGCUCCUCCAGCCCUGUGCCAGAAGCACCCCAUGUGCUCAGCAUGCCACACUUUCUGUCCUUCGGAGGCCCACAACCCUUCCCAAGAACCUUCAGGGACCGGGCCUGGGACAAGCACUCUAUUCUUAUUAAUGAACUGCCGCUGCGCAUGCACUGCGGACCCCGCUUCACUGUCCAAGGCCACACCCUGCAAGUGGCCAGGACACCACCCCUACUCCCCAAACCUGAGGCUCUGCGCAUGCAGCCCCCUCCCCAACAUUCAGACCUCGCAUGCAGAAACCAACCGAACGCCACAGGCCAGCAAAACAGCCUCACAGGGACCCCUCCGCACCCCCAGGUCCCCAGGUGACUGCACCCGCUACGCAACCCCAAUUCCAAGGCCUGCAGUCACCGUGUCCAGCAUCCCUGCAGACACGGCCCCGCAGCCUCCCAGCAGCACGCCUCUACAGGGGCCAAAGGUGGGGUGGGGCUCUACCUGGUUUAGGACCCGGGCCAGAGGAGGUGGCGUUCAGCCACUCUAGACCGGCAGAGGGCGCUGCUCGCUGUGGUCCGGUCCAUUCUAAGGGCCCUGGUCCUUCCUUCCCCACCGAGGUGCUGUGACCUCACUUGGUCUCACUGGUCUCCCGACAUCCAUGGUCUCCAGACCCCAAUGGUGUCUUUGCGCCUCUUGGAGCCUGCUACUUUUAAAAAAUUAUUUCUUUAUUAGAAUACUGGGGGAUACAUAUUGGUGCAGCCUAAUUUCUUCAAGGGCCAGGUUUUAUUUGUU